rnacentral:rRNA from 1 species
AAAUUAAAAAAAUAGUGUCUGCUUGCAGAACUUGCAUACAGGUGCUGCACGGCUGUCGUCAGCUCGUGUCGUGAGAUGUUGGGUUAAGUCCCGCAACGAGCGCAACCCUCGUCCUUAGUUGCUAACAGUUCGGCUGAGAACUCUAAGGAGACUGCCUACGCAAGUAGGAGGAAGGUGAGGAUGACGUCAAGUCAUCAUGGCCCUUACGUCCAGGGCUACACACGUGCUACAAUGGGGUAUACAAAGAGCAGCAAUACGGUGACGUGGAGCAAAUCUCAAAAAUGCCUCCCAGUUCGGAUUGUAGUCUGCAACUCGACUACAUGAAGUUGGAAUCGCUAGUAAUCGUAGAUCAGCUAUGCUACGGUGAAUACGA